rnacentral:rRNA from 1 species
AUUGAACGCUGGCGGCAGGCCUAACACAUGCAAGUCGAGCGGAUGAAGGGAGCUUGCUCCUGGAUUCAGCGGCGGACGGGUGAGUAAUGCCUAGGAAUCUGCCUGGUAGUGGGGGAUAACGUCCGGAAACGGGCGCUAAUACCGCAUACGUCCUGAGGGAGAAAGUGGGGGAUCUUCGGACCUCACGCUAUCAGAUGAGCCUAGGUCGGAUUAGCUAGUUGGUGGGAUAAAGGCCUACCAAGGCGACGAUCCGUAACUGGUCUGAGAGGAUGAUCAGUCACACUGGAACUGAGACACGGUCCAGACUCCUACGGGAGGCAGCAGUGGGGAAUAUUGGACAAUGGGCGAAAGCCUGAUCCAGCCAUGCCGCGUGUGUGAAGAAGGUCUUCGGAUUGUAAAGCACUUUAAGUUGGGAGGAAGGGCAGUAAGUUAAUACCUUGCUGUUUGGACGUUACCAACAGAAUAAGCACCGGCGAACUGCGU